AUUACUAAGCGGAGGAAAAGAAAAUAACGAUGAUUCCCACAGUAACGGCGAGUGAAGUGGGAAGAGCCUAGCACUGAAUCCCUGGCCGCUGCGGCCACGGGAACUGUAGUGUUUGGGACGGCCUCUGCUCGGUGCACUUGCCAUUGUAAGUUCGUUUGAAUGCGGCUGAUUAUGGGCUACUUCUUCGGAGGAGGCCCUUUGCCAGAGAGGGUGUGAGACCCGUGUGGAUGGCUUGGGUGCAUUUGGGCUUUGGUGUCACGUCUCCAGAGUCGGGUUGUUUGGGAUUGCAGCCCUAAUGGGGUGGUAAACUCCAUCCAAGGCUAAAUAUGACGGCGAGUCCGAUAGCGGACCAAGUACCGCGAGGGAAAGUUGAAAAGAACUUUGAAGAGAGAGUUCAAGAGUACGUGAAACCGCUGAGAGGUAAACGGAUGGGAUCGCAAUUGCUCCCGGUGAGAUUCAGCUCUCUCUCUCUCGCAAGAGUGGGGAGGGUGCACUUCUCCCGGGAGAAGGCCACGCUCGGUUCUCGCCCUGUUGUCGAUCUGUCGGCAAGGUGUUCUCCCCAAAAGGAGAGCCUAACAUGGCUCGGCGGACGUAAGCAACCAGAGCGAGGACCGCGCUUACUACGUAGUAGUAGUAGACUAGCGUCCGGGGACGGCCGCGCGGAGCAGUGGGUCGGAUCGUCUCGGACUGUUCACAGUGCCCGGCGAACUCUCGACCCGCGGUGCCGCGCGGUGACCGACGCGAGUGCAAGUGGUGGCUGUUUGGCAGACAACCCAGCCGACCCGUCUUGAAACACGGACCAAGGAGUCUAACAUGUGCGCGAGUCAUUGUACUCGACUAGAUACAGAGGCGCAACGAAAGUAAGGGGGUCUGAGGAGGAAUGCGUUUCGUCUGCAAGACCGGCCCGUCCCGUGCUGGCGACGCGGAUGGAGCUAGAGCGCAAAUGUUGGUACCCGAAAGAUGGUGAACUAUGCCCGAGUAGGACGAAGCCAGUGGAAACUCUGGUGGAGGUCCGUAGCGAUUC
rnacentral:rRNA from 1 species